UACGUAGGGUGCAAGCGUUAAUCGGAAUUACUGGGCGUAAAGCGUGCGCAGGCGGUCUUGCAAGACAGAUGUGAAUCCCCGGGCUUAACCUGGGAACUGCAUUUGUGACUGCAAGGCUGGAGUACGGCAGAGGGGGAUGGAAUUCCGCGUGUAGCAGUGAAAUGCGUAGAUAUGCGGAGGAACACCGAUGGCGAAGGCAAUCCCCUGGGCCUGUACUGACGCUCAUGCACGAAAGCGUGGGGAGCAAACAGG
rnacentral:rRNA from 1 species